AACCAUAUAUAAAGCACCUGUGGCAACAUGACUGCCUUUUCGUCUGGUUUGCCUGCUGGUUGCCACAUGCUCCUUGCACUGAGCCCCCUGUCUGCCCCUCUGCCUCAGUGUCUGUUGUCCUGUUGGUCCUUGGUAGCUGUUCCUGUCAUUGUUACAGUGAAGCAAGUUCCUGUGAGGUGGUUGCCAGCUGCUGGUCGAGGCUAGGCACUCAAGGUGGUUCCCUGCACUGUUUGCACUUCCCCCUCCCAUUUUGCUAAUUGUAAAUCACAUUGGAUUGGAAGUGUCUUUGUAAGAUAAAAUAAACAAAUGAUAUUGUAAUAAACUUUAAUACAUCUCCCUAAACUGACUAAUUGACCUCGCUGCAGUAACUAUCCCCCUUCUCUUCAAAGAUGCGCUCAUUUUUAAUUAUCAAUAAAUGUAAUUAAAUUUUCUUUUGAACCAUG